rfam:Canis lupus familiaris chromosome 1, whole genome shotgun sequence.
AGGAGGAACAGCCCCAGUGGCGGGGCAGCUCUGGAGCCCUGGAUUCAGCUCCGGCAGGAACUCCGUCUGCAGGGCCUGGAGGCUCCGGGCGGGG